AGUGACCUGCGGAAGGAUCAUUACUGAGUUGUUGACACGAGCUGUUGCUGGUCCUCAAAGCAAGGGGGGCAUGUGCACGCUCUGUUCACACAUCCACUCACACCUGUGCACCCCCCGUAGUUCUAUGGUCUGGAGGGCUUGCCGUCUUCUUCCCGUAGUUCUACGUCUUUACACAUACACCGUAGUAAAGUCUUAUGGAAUGUGCGCCGCGUUUAACGCAAUAAAAUACAACUUUCAGCAACGGAUCUCUUGGCUCUCGCAUCGAUGAAGAACGCAGCGAAAUGCGAUAAGUAAUGUGAAUUGCAGAAUUCAGUGAAUCAUCGAAUCUUUGAACGCACCUUGCGCCCCUUGGCUAUUCCGAGGAGCAUGCCUGUUUGAGUAUCAUGAACACCUCAACUCUCACGGUUCACCCGUGACGAGCUUGGACUUCUGGAGGUUUUGCUGGCCCAUGGCCGGCUCCUCUCAAAUGGAUCAGCUUACCAGUCUUUGGUGGCGUCAUGGGUGAGAUAACUAUCUACGCUUGUGGCCGUCCGCCAGGUAACCUUCAGCGAGGGGGGUUUGCUGGGGGCUUACAAAUGUCUCUCCUCAGCGAAGACAGCUUUUUGAACGUUUGAUC
rnacentral:rRNA from 1 species